rnacentral:rRNA from 1 species
GACGAACGCUGGCGGCGUGCCUAAUACAUGCAAGUCGAACGAGAGCGACCGGUGCUUGCACUGGUCAAUCUAGUGGCGAACGGGUGAGUAACACGUGGGUAACCUGCCCAUCAGAGGGGGAUAACAUUCGGAAACGGAUGCUAAAACCGCAUAGGUCUUCGAACCGCAUGGUUUGAAGAGGAAAAGAGGCGCAAGCUUCUGCUGAUGGAUGUACCCGCGGUGCAUUAGCUAGUUGGUGAGGUAACGGCUCACCAAGGCCGUGAUGCAUAGCCGACCUGAGAGGGUGAUCGGCCACAUUGGGACUGAGACACGGCCCAAACUCCUACGGGAAGCAGCAGUAGGGAAUCUUCCGCAAUGGACGCAAGUCUGACGGAGCAACGCCGCGUGAGUGAAGAAGGUUUUCGGAUCGUAAAACUCUGUUGUUAGAGAAGAAUAAGUGCUAGAGUAACUGUUAGCGCCUUGACGGUAUCUAACCAGAAAGCAACGGCUAACUACGUG